GAGAGGUGACCGAGUGGCCGAAGGUGCUUGAUUGGAAAUCAAGUGUGCGGGCAACCGUACCGAGGGUUCGAAUCCCUCUCUCUCC
rnacentral:tRNA from 1 species